CGUAACUAUAACGGUCCUAAGGUAGCGAAAUUCCUUGUCGGGUAAGUUCCGACCCGCACGAAAGGCGUAACGAUUUGGGCACUGUCUCAACGAGAGACUCGGUGAAAUCAUAGUACCGGUGAAGAUGCCGGUUACCCGCGACAGGACGGAAAGACCCCGUGGAGCUUUACUGUAGCCUGAUAUUGAAAUUCGGUACAGUUUGUACAGGAUAGGUAGGAGCCUUAGAAGCGUGAGCGCUAGCUUACGUGGAGGCAUUGGUGGGAUACUACCCUAAUUGUAUUGGAUUUCUAACCCGCAGCACUUAUCGUGCUGGGAGACAGUGUCAGGCGGGCAGUUUGACUGGGGCGGUCGCCUCCUAAAGAGUAACGGAGGCGCUCAAAGGUUCCCUCAGAAUGGUUGGAAAUCAUUCAUAGAGUGUAAAGGCAUAAGGGAGCUUGACUGCGAGACCUACAAGUCGAGCAGGGUCGAAAGACGGACUUAGUGAUCCGGUGGUUCCGCAUGGAAGGGCCAUCGCUCAACGGAUAAAAGCUACCCCGGGGAUAACAGGCUUAUCUCCCCCAAGAGUUCACAUCGACGGGGAGGUUUGGCACCUCGAUGUCGGCUCAUCGCAUCCUGGGGCUGUAGUCGGUCCCAAGGGUUGGGCUGUUCGCCCAUUAAAGCGGUACGCGAGCUGGGUUCAGAACGUCGUGAGACAGUUCGGUCCCUAUCCGUCGUGGGCGUAGGAAAUUUGAGAGGAGCUGUCCUUAGUACGAGAGGACCGGGAUGGACAUACCUCUGGUGUACCAGUUGUCGUGCCAACGGCAUAGCUGGGUAGCUAUGUAUGGACGGGAUAAGUG
rnacentral:rRNA from 1 species